rnacentral:rRNA from 1 species
GACGAACGCUGGCGGCGUGCCUAAUACAUGCAAGUUGAGCGCUGAAGGUUGGUACUUGUACCAACUGGAUGAGCAGCGAACGGGUGAGUAACGCGUGGGGAAUCUGCCUUUGAGCGGGGGACAACAUUUGGAAACGAAUGCUAAUACCGCAUAAAAACUUUAAACACAAGUUUUAAGUUUGAAAGAUGCAAUUGCAUCACUCAAAGAUGAUCCCGCGUUGUAUUAGCUAGUUGGUGAGGUAAAGGCUCACCAAGGCGAUGAUACAUAGCCGACCUGAGAGGGUGAUCGGCCACAUUGGGACUGAGACACGGCCCAAACUCCUACGGGAGGCAGCAGUAGGGAAUCUUCGGCAAUGGACGAAAGUCUGACCGAGCAACGCCGCGUGAGUGAAGAAGGUUUUCGGAUCGUAAAACUCUGUUGGUAGAGAAGAACGUUGGUGAGAGUGGAAAGCUCAUCAAGUGAC